AAACUACAAAAUAGUAACUCCAAGUUAAAUCUAAGAGGAAUCCUAAGCUUGGAUUUCAAAUGGAAAAUCUACUGCCACUCAAGGUACUGUCUGUUAAAACUUACAGCACUAAAAGCCUAAAUUCAGCUGCUGGUACCACUGGAGAUCUUGUAUAUCCAGCUUGCUGAGCAAAAUUCAUACUGCUAGUAAUCAAGAAGCUAUAUAUCCAAAACUUGUCAAACAAAAGACACAAAUCUAGCUCUGUGCAUAACAGAGAAUAAGAGUAAACUGUUGCAUUUGCAUUGUGAAUCUAUAUAUUAUUCCAUUUCCAUCCAUGCUUCUCAA
rnacentral:misc_RNA from 1 species